AAGGUGAAGCAGUUUUUCCUGCAGCGGUCAUUCCCAUUGCCUGUAGAGGAUGUAAAGGAACAGGAGAAGGGCAGGUUCUGCUGCACUCUCAAACACAUCACCUGUGUCUUCACCUACAGUGGCCAGGGUUCCAGUGAGGCUGCAGCCCGUCAGUCAGCCUGCCAGAGGGCGCUGUCUCAACUGGCUCCUUUUAUUGGCAACUGUGGUCCUGUGGCCCCAACCGGCAGCACUGAGAAGGCGGUUCAAAGGCUCCAGAUUCUGUUGGAAGGGGCAGGCCUUACAUCUGCUAACUCCGCCCUUACAGGAACUCAGUACAGAAGCUCCAUCCAGCUGAGGUUCUCUGGACUCCAGCAGAGGUACCUCAGUGAGGAACGUUCUAGAUGAGUGGUUUGUGAAGAGAGGUCUGGAGAAACCUGGGUUUGAGGAAAACAGGUCUGGGACCAAAGUCACCUUCUCCACCCCUCUACUCUGCUCCUACACAGGCAGGCCUCUGAAAUUCCCAUACAAACACAAAUGCAAACGCACACACACACACACAGUCAGGUUAUUUUCUGAUUGGCUGUUCUCUCUGUCUCUCCGAAGAUUGGCAGGCCAGCAAGGAGAAAUCUCAGAAGAGAUUGGUCGAAGAAUUGCAGAGGCGGGUCAAAUACCUGUAUGAUGGAAGCACCAACUGAGAGCCCAAAGAUUGUUUACUUACACUUGGCUCCUGCAUGUAACGACAACAUGUCCUCCAUUUCCCAGCCUGGAUAUAUCUCCUCCCAAGUUUUCCUCUCUUUCUUCUCCUCUCUGGGUUUCAUCUGGCCUGUGGUGUUGGUGGUAGAUGUGUCUGUCUUUAUUAGUAUGGUUUUAGGACUAUAAUAUAUAUAUAUAUAUAUAUAUAAUAUAAUAACACUCUUGCAUGCACUGUUUUUACCGCAGGGUUUGGUCCUGAUAUUAAAUUAUCUUACUUUUAGCAGCUCAUUGCUGUUUAAUUUUACUCUAUGAAGUUUUUGCACAGUCUAACAUAAUGAAUGCACUUACAUUUUAGCCAUUUAGUCAUUGUACUGGUCCCCCGUGGGACCUCAAACUCACCCCAGGUAUCCUCUUUUUCAAACAUGUAAUAAUGACCAAAGUACUUAAGCUCUAAAUAAAAAGGCUUCUCUCUGAUCAUGAAAAUACCCUCCACUACCUUGUAUGAUGUUCAAUACUUGUCUAUCUUAUCUGUCUCUCGAAGUGUCUUACUGGUGUAACCAUGGGGAUCACUGGUGUAACCAUGUGGAUCACUGGUGUAACCAUGGGGUAAUGGGGAUCACUGGUGUAACCAUGGGGUAAUGGGGAUCACUCGUGUACCAUGGGGUAAUGGGGAUACCUGGUGUAACCAUGGGAUAAUGGGGAUCACUGGUGUAACCAUGGGGGUAAUGGGGAUCACUGGUGUAACCAUGGGGUAAUGGGGAUCAGGUGUAACCAUGGGGAAAUGUGGAUCACUGGUGUAACCAUGGGGGUAAUGGGGAUCACUGGUGUAACCAUGGGGGUAAUGGGGAUCACUGGUGUAACCAUGGGGUAAUGUGGAUCACUGGUGUAACCAUGGGGGUAAUGGGGAUCACUAGUAUAAACCAUGCAGUCACUGGUGGAACUAUGCAGUCACUGGGGUAACCAUACCGUCACUGGUGUAAAUCUAGGAUCACUGCUCUUAGUCUUUUGUAUGGUUGGCUAAGAGUGUGAGUAAUGUUGGGAGAAAAGUAUGGAAUCCUGGAGCGGGUUGGUUGGU